AUACUUACCUGGCAGGAGAAACACCACGAUCAUGAAGAUGGUUCACCCAGAGUCACUGGGUCAGCCACUCUGGCUGAGUGGACCCUGUGAAUUACCCAAAUGUGGAGCCUAAUCUGUGGAGUGGUGUAGUGGCAGGUUUUAGAUCUGUAUUCCA
rnacentral:snRNA from 1 species